rnacentral:rRNA from 1 species
UAGGGAAUCUUCCGCAAUGGACGCAAGUCUGACGGAGCAACGCCGCGUGAGUGAAGAAGGAUUUCGGUUCGUAAAACUCUGUUGUUAGAGAGGAACAGCGCAUAGAGUAACUGUUAUGCGUGUGACGGUAUCUAACCAGAAAGCCACGGCUAACUACGUGCCAGCAGCCGCGGUAAUACGUAGGUGGCAAGCGUUGUCCGGAUUUAUUGGGCGUAAAGCGAGCGCAGGCCGUCAAUUAAGUCUGAUGUGAAAGCCCCCGGCUCAACCGGGGAGGGUCAUUGGAAACUGGUUGACUUGAGUGCAGAAGAGGAGAGUGGAAUUCCAUGUGUAGCGGUGAAAUGCGUAGAUAUAUGGAGGAACACCAGUGGCGAAGGCGACUCUCUGGUCUGUAACUGACGCUGAGGCUCGAAAGCGUGGGUAGCAAACAGG